GACGAACGCUGGCGGCGUGCUUAACACAUGCAAGUCGAACGGUAAGGCCCUUCGGGGUACACGAGUGGCGAACGGGUGAGUAACACGUGGGUGAUCUGCCCUGCACUUCGGGAUAAGCCUGGGAAACUGGGUCUAAUACCGGAUAGGACCACUGCCUGCAUGGGGGGUGGUGGAAAGCUUUUUGCGGUGUGGGAUGGGCCCACGGUCUAUCAGCUUGUUGGUGGGGUGAUGGCCUACCAAGGCGACGACGGGUAGCCGGCCUGAGAGGGUGACCGGCCACACUGGGACUGAGAUACGGCCAAGACUGCUACGGGAGGCAGCAGUGGGGAAUAUUGCACAAUGGGCGCAAGCCUGAUGCAGCGACGCCGCGUGAGGGAUGACGGCCUUCGGGUUGUAAACCUCUUUCAGCACCGACGAAGCGCAAGUGACGGUAGGUGCAGAAGAAGGACCGGCCAACUACGUGCCAGCCGCCGCAGUAA
rnacentral:rRNA from 1 species